rnacentral:lncRNA from 1 species
CCCAGCCCCUCCGUCUUCCAUGCCGAGGGACCUGGGGACAUUCCUCUGUUAAGCCACCUCUCAAGAAUGUGCCAUGCCCCCUUGGUGCCCUGAGGACCCGAGGCCAGCCAGCUCUCCAUUCCUCAGGGGCCCAUACCUGUCUCCUGCUGUGUCACUGUUAACCAAGUGACAGGAUGGUCCUUUCUGUGCCCAAGCUCUCCUGGUUGGCUCAGAGGCCUGCCUGUCUCCCCCCAGGAAGUGCCCAGCAAACCUCGGGGAAAAAAAAGCAGCCCCCAAAUACAGAGCACGGUUAGUAGGUGGCUUCUUGUCUUCUAGGAGACAAGCCUUAUAUGCAUCUUUUUAUUCCAAUACUUAAAAAUACUGUUGUGCCUUGAUACGCAUGUGGGGUCAGCCCCAAGACCCUCUUCAGAUGCCAAAGUCUGCGAUGCCCAGGUCCCUUGCAGAAAGCCUUGUCGUGUCAAGGAAGCCCCUGUGCCCUUCCCCAGGGGCUAGACCAUCCCCGAUGACUCACGGUACCUGGGACGCAGAGAGGCCCUGUGAACAGCUGGGAGACUGCAGCGUUUAGGGAAUGGCGACAAGAAAACAGUCCGUGUGCAGUAGAGAUGCAAUUUUUUUCUCAAAACAGCUUCAAUCUGCAGUUGAUGGAGUCCACUGGGGCGGAACCUCCACCCGAGGGCGGAUUCACACAGAACAAGAGGCGACAGGAAAUAAAACAAAGGCGACUAUCAGCAGGGCAUGGUGGUGGGUCCAUCUCCUUCCUGUUCCCCUUUUUGUCUGAGGGGCUUUUCUCAAGUGUGGACAGUACUAAGAUCUUGUGUGUUUGGUUUGUUUUUAAUCAGAAAAGCACCAAUCGACGUUGUUCUGGGAAAGGUUGGAAGAUGGUGGGCAGGGGGUCUGCUAGUCAGAAGGCUCCUGAGGACCGUGAUCUGAGAGCCCUGCGGGGAGGAAAGGGCACGGGGUCUCUUGUCCACUUCCCAGGUCAACACUCCUCAGCCCUGAGCCUCAGACGGGCCACACAGGAGAAGCGUGACCGCUGACAUUCUGCUGGGGUUUGAAUAUGGCCCCCACACUCCACAUGUUGGAGACUUACUUCCCAAACAGGCUCGCCAACGAAUUUAACAGUCACUGAAGGGGAGCCUCUGGGAGCUCACUAGAGUUAGAUGAGGUCACAGAGGCAGGGUCCCCACCAAGGCUUGGAUGGCUUUAGAGCAGAGGAGGACAGACCUGAGUGGCACACUCGCUGGGCCUCACCAGGACCUGCGUCCCCCAUGCGACCACACAGCAGCAGGCCCCCCAGACGCCUGGCAAGUGUGGGAGCCAUGCUCUUGGGAUUCCCAGCUCCAGAACUGAAAGAAAGAAAUUUCUUUUCUUUAUAAAUGACCUGACCUCAGACUAUUGGAUAUAGCAACAGAAAACAGACUAAGACACAUUCCAAGAAGCCUGCUGAGAGCAGAGAUUUGUAAGGUGUGCUUCCCGACCAGCUGAGGGCAGGACCCAGGAGACCCUGAGAAGUGCAUGUGCCCAGGCCCCACCCCAGCCCCCAGCCACAAGGCCUAGGGGAGGUCUCAGGGCUCCUCAGGUCAGCAAAGUCUCUGGGGGACCUGAUGGCCCACCUCCUGCAUCAGGGACCAGCACAAGUCACCAGGCUCUGAGUGGAACAGAAGACUGGUGCUGUAGCCCUCAGGCUUGAGCCCCAUCUUUACCUCAGCCAGAGUUCCUCUCUCUGAUUCCUGAUUUUUACCCCCCAUUUACAAAAGAGGAACCCUUUCUGGGGAGUUGGGAGGACUGAAUGAAGGGUUGGCACCUGGUAGGUGUCCAGUGGUCCCCAAUAGUUAACAGCGUAAGUCACGAUGGCCUGAGACUUCCAGAGAAGGUGUCCAACAAUAAUAUCACCCAGCAUUCCUGCUGCUUAUUAUGUCCCGGCACUGGGCUGCUGCAGACCCAUCUCCCAGGUGAGGCGGGGCAAGGUCCUGAGCCAUGUGGACUCGGAUGGGGACCACCUGGGCUCCCGGACAGCCAACGCUGCUGUUCACUAGCUGGGGAAUUUGGGUUCAUAAAUUAACCUCUGUGUCUCAGCCUCUUCAAAAUAGAAAUAAUAGUUCUUGGCAUUAAAUGGGUCAUUGUGUAAAGUUCUAGAACAGUAACUGAUAAGGCUGGGCCUGUGGCUAGCAUGUGAGGCCAG